rnacentral:tRNA from 2 species
AGAAAAAUGGGUCUUGCACCCACACCUAAAAACUCAAAAUUUUUAGCACUCCGUUAUGCUACUUUCUAG